AGCUAUUGAGCACAAGCUCACGUUAAUGAGGUUGCCAUAUUCAGGAAUGUAUAUGUGUAAGAGUUCUGGAAGAGAGGCCCACGGUGAAAUGGGGCCGUAUGAUGGAGAGUGAGGCUUGGCCUAACCAGGGAGGGCUUCCCCGAGGAGGAGACAAUCAACUAAAAUGCAAAGCGGCAAAGUGGGAGGUCAGAACCUCAGCAACAUGGCCAAAGGCCGGGAAAGGGGGAGAAGAGCACCCUUCCUGAGGAGCCCAGCAGCCGGCCCUUCCCCAGGGAGGGCAGUAGCUGAAAUGAAGUUGGAAGAUUUGCCAAAGGCUGGCACGUGGACAGGGUGACCAGUCAGCUCCUAUAGAAGCUACCUUACAAUUAAAGCCUAGAAAGUGUGCCCAGUAUCUCUUCAGUUAUUAUCAACACCAGGGAUCCCAAGUACACUGCUUCCAAGGGCAGACGGACAGAUGGAGUGACAGCACUGAGAGAAAGAGCACUGCCCCAGCAGACUGGAGAGCCCGCAGCCCCUGCUCAGUUCCAGCAGACUACUGCCCUGCAAAAAAGGGUGUCAUUCUUUGUUGGAGCUUCUAAUUUUUCAAGAGAGGUUGAAAAUCCAGAUUUUUUAAUUGUCGACUCUUGCAACUUAAAGGUGUUGUCAAAAAAUAAAAUAAAAAGCUAACAGUGAGUGGGUCUUGGUCAAAAGGUUAUAAACAGCCAGCUUAGGCUCUGAGGCAUAAGCUCAUGAUCUCUGAAACCCCAUUCUUUUAUUUCUUUCCUUUACACCCUGGGCCCUCCUUGCCUAGCACUGUCAUUCCUCUUCUCCUUCUGUAGAGUCUUUGGUCAUUUUUAUUUAUACUCCACCCGUGUCUUGGGCCUGGAGUAGGUCUCGUGCAUAUGGAUGAUGGGGAUGGCUUUGAAACCUCUCCUCGUGGUUGAGGAUGACGUACACAGCCAGUUUUCCCCUUUCUUCCCACCUCUAUCCCCACCAGCCCUGUUAUAAUAGCCACAUCUUUCUUCUCUUGUUGUUUCUAAUAAUUUUUCAGUUGCUUCUCUACUUUCUAGGUAUGCACUUCAAGUAUCUACAAUAAGUUUACAGCUUGCACUCUGAUGUUUAUAUCUAUUACUUCUCUUAUCUCCCCGCUGAUAUUUCUGAGUCAGGUUUAUAAUUUCAGUGGAAGUGAACAUUCUUAUCCCACAUUUGAUUUAAAUGAGGAUUCUUCUUAUGUUUCACAAAAUAUGCAGGCAUGAGGCUACAUAUUUAAAAUAGAAGAACAAAAGUAACUAAUUCUACUUAUUUGAAUUGUACUGUUUUAACUUUUUUCUUUUUCAUCAGGAAUGUGUGUCAUACAUUUUGUUACCACAGACUGCUUUUAUAUAGUCUUUUAAAAGUUGUUUACAGACAUAAUUUUGAGAUAAAAUACACCCAUAUAAAGGAUAUAGUUCAAUGAGUUUUGACAAAUGUGUAAGUCAUUUAAUCUCCGAUGUAACCAAUAUAUUAUUGAAUUUUGAAUUUUAGCAAAGCGCUUUUGCACCUAUUAAGAUGACCAUACAGAUUUUUCUUUUUUGCUCUGAUAUGGAGACUAGCUUCUCCAAUACUGAACCAAGCUCAUAUUCCUGUGAUGUAUCCCACUUGAUCAUGGCAUGUAUUUAAUGUACUGCUAGAGUCUAUUUGAUGGUAUUUUAUUGAAAGGUUUUGCAUCAAUAUUCAUAAGCAAGACUGAUCUGCAGCGCAUGCGCGAGCUUACACGUGCACAUAUGCUAUCUUCAUAAAGUUCCAGGAUGAAUAUCAUUUUGGCAUCUUAAAUAAACUUGAAAGUUUGCCUUUCACUCUAUGCUUAGAGACAGUCGAAAUAGUAUUGUGACCAUUCAUCCAGGUUUACAUGGACAGUUCUAGUUUACACUGUCCCAAUUAAAGCCCCUUCCAAUAAAUUAUAUGGUCACCCUCCUUAAUAAUAUCAAUGUCUUUGAAUGUUGGAGAAAUUUACUAAAGCCAUCUGGGGCAUGCACUUAGAGUUUAGAGAGCACCUUUUAGUAACUUUAAUUUCUUCCAUGGUUACUGACUUAGGCUCUCUCUCCUGGGAGCCAUUUUGAUAAAGUAAAAUCUCCCAGAAAUACCACCCACUUCAUCUAGCUCCACAGAAUUUCACAUAGCACUGCCUCACAGUAUUUUUCGGUUAUUUCUCCUUCUUUGUCUCUAACUUCGUUGAUUUUGACUUUCCAGGUAAUAAAAUAGUGUUAAUUGCACAAAAUUAAAAAAAUAAAGAUACAUAGAAAGAAAAGGUUGAAAAUUACCCAUAAUCUCAUUACCCAGAUAUAGUUAUAUUGACAUUGUUAUGUAAACAUUUCAGACUUUUAGCUACGUACCUUCUUACCUACACACACACAAUGUUUAUUAACCUGCCUUUUCCAUGUUAGAUAAUAUGAAUGUCUUUCCCUCUAUUAAUAAGUACAGAUUUACAUCUUCAAUUGCAAUGGCUGUGAAAUUUCAUCAUUAUAGCAUGACUUUCUUAAAUUCCUAUAGGGGAUAGGGAGAUAAGAUAACUUUUGUAAACUAUUUUUAACAAUGCUGCAUUACACCAUUUAACAUCUUUGCAUGUUCAUUCAUUUAUAUUUGUAGGACAGAUCGUUAAAAAAAGUACUAGUCAAAGGUAGAUAUAUUUAAAAAUGAUUCUUUGCUUAAAAAUUUUUUUUAUUUCUUUUAAAAAAUCAGCAAAGGAAAUCAGCAAAGAACAAAAGAUUUCCUGUAAUCCAUUAUCCACCAAGUUCUAGUGUACAUUUUUUAUUUUUCACCAUAAAUGAGACCAUAUUAUACAUACUAGCUUAUAACUCACCGUAUUACACCAUCUAUUUCCUUCACAGCAUCAUUCCAUAUAGUUGUAAGGUAGUCAUGGAUAAGAGAACCAGUUUGAUUACUGACUGGUGGAAAUUUGAAGUUUCCCAUUUUUGCUAUUAUAAGCAAUGCUACAAUGAACACUGUUGUCUUUAUUUUUUUGCCCCACUGUUC